rnacentral:rRNA from 1 species
AGAGUUUGAUCCUGGCUCAGGACGAACGCUGGCGGCGCGCCUAACACAUGCAAGUCGAACGAGCGAGAGAGAGCUUGCUUUCUCGGGCGAGUGGCAAACGGGUGAGUAACGCGUGAGGAACCUGCCUCAGAGAGGGGGACAACAGUUGGAAACGACUGCUAAUACCGCAUAAGCCCACGGGUCGGCAUCCACCAGAGGGAAAAGGAGCAAUCCGCUUUGAGAUGGCCUCGCGUCCGAUUAGCUAGUUGGUGAGGUAACGGCCCACCAAGGCGACGAUCGGUAGCCGGACUGAGAGGUUGAACGACCACAUUGGGACUGAGACACGGCCCAGACUCCUACGGGAGGCAGCAGUGGGGAAUAUUGCACAAUGGUGGGAAACCCUGAUGCAGCGACGCCGCGUGGAGGAAGAAGGUUUUUGGAUUGUAAACUCCUGUUGUUGAGGAAGAUAAUGACGGUACUCAACAAGGAAGUGACGGCUAACUACGUGCCAGCAGCCGCGGUAAAACGUAGGUCACAAGCGUUGUCCGGAAUUACUGGGUGUAAAGGGAGCGCAGGCGGGAAGACAAGUUGGAAGUGAAAUCUAUGGGCUCAACCCAUAAACUGCUUUCAAAACUGUUUUUCUUGAGUAGUGCAGAGGUAGGCGGAAUUCCCGGUGUAGCGGUGGAAUGCGUAGAUAUCGGGAGGAACACCAGUGGCGAAGGCGGCCUACUGGGCACCAACUGACGCUGAGGCUGGAAAGUGUGGGUAGCAAACAGGAUUAGAUACCCUGGUAGUCCACCCCGUAAACGAUGAUUACUAGGUGUUGGAGGAUUGACCCCUUCA